AGUUAAAUCUCUAUAUUGAAAUCCAUCUAUCCUACACAGAUAGUUAAAUGAAACAUGGAGAGAGUAAUAGAAAGAAAGAGACAGAAAGUAUAAAGAAAAGAGCCAGGGGAUAGUGGAGAAAGAAUCAAUGUAAACCUUUGGCCAAAUUCAAAGGCGAGUUAACAGUAUCUACACAUACUGGAUCGACCAUUCACAAAGUGAAAGCCUUGGCACAUAAAAGUCGUUUCGAUCAAUUCAACUUAGGCUAUUGCCUCAGUGCUCAGAAUGACAAUACGUGUGGAUUUUCUCGCGAACUUGCGCACACAUUUACACGGUACUCGACAUAUAGGUAUUCUUGGAGUUUUCACAAACUCAAUUAUUCCUCCACGGCUGAUAAAAUCUUCAAUUACUCUAGACAA